GAGCACUGUUUCCGACUCAUAGGCGUAAAAACAAGGUUGCUGGAUGAUAUGAGCACUGUAUCGACUUAUAGGUUUCUGUCGACUCCUUUUCUCUAGAGUUCUUAGCAUGGUUAUAGUUUCUGUGGGAGAUUCGGCCUCUUUGCUUUUAGUUUUCUUUAAUUUAUUCUUAGCUGUUUCUUUUAGUUUUCUUAUUUUGCUUUAGUCUCCUGUCAUGGAGAGUUCGUCGGAUGGGUGUUGGGUGUUUUUGGGGAAGCUGUACAUGUUGGUCUUUUGACUUUCAUGCUCCUAAUUGGAGGUCAUUGAUGCAAUCUCUCCUGCUGCUUGUUGCUCUAUUUUAGUGAAUGGUUUAUAGGGGGUUCUUCCCACUUUGGUUGGCGGCUCAAGGGUCGAGCUGGUGCCGCUUAGUGGUUACUAGUUGUGAAUCUGCCAAGCCUUUCUUAGCUUACCAGCGUCCCAUGAUCCAUGUCCAUCUACUUUGGCUUUGUAUUUGGUUUCCUAAAUUGCUUGUGCCCUCCUGUUGAUAUAGUAUGGGAUCUUUGCUUGGUUGCUGCAUGUUCUAUGUUUGGUGGAGUUUCCUUCUUAGGUGAUUCUGGGUGGCUGACAUCUGUGGCAGCUGGUAGUGGGUGGAUCCUGGUGGGGGUGAAGAGGGAGAUGUCUCUGCUCUUUUAUUUCGCCAGGUUUGACGUUUUCGGGUUCUCUAACCUAAUUUGUUUAGGGUUUAUAGUAAGGAUUGGUUCUUGAGGUGAUAUGGGCUUCAAUGUUUUAGUUAGGCUUUCUAAAGUGUAUGGCCUUUGUAAUUUGUUUGGAUCAUAUAUUUUGCUCUUUAUAAAUGAAAUAU
rnacentral:misc_RNA from 1 species